GACGAACCGUGCGAACGUUGUUCGGAUUCACCGGGCUUAAAGGGCGCGUAGGCGGCGCGACAAGUCGGGGGUGAAAUCUUCCGGCCCAACCGGAAAAGGGCCCCCGAUACUGGCGCGCUGGAGGGAGGUAGGGGCAUGUGGAACUCCAGGUGGAGCGGUGAAAUGCGUAGAUAUCUGGAGGAACGCCGGUGGCGAAAGCGACGUGCUGGACCUUCACUGACGCUGAGGCGCGAAAGCCAGGGGAGCAAACGGG
rnacentral:rRNA from 1 species